UCCAAGACUAAAUUUAAGCCACCAUUUCAGCCCACAAAAUUCCUUUAAAUUCAGCCAAGGCUCAAUCAACCCACCCACCAUUUAACCCAAUUUACUACCCAAACUAAAACCUAAAAAAUAAGCCCAAAAAUACCCUAAUCGUCCACUCUUUCCAAAACACAAAAAUUUUUUAACCCAAAUUUACACCCCAACCGUCCACCCUCACCAAAUCAAAGCCAAAAAAGAAAAAAAACCUAACCUUUCACCCAUCAAAUCCUAAGCUUUCACCUAUCACAUCCUAGCCAUCUUUU
rnacentral:lncRNA from 1 species